rnacentral:rRNA from 1 species
CCCUUAGAUGUUCUGGGCUGCACGCGCGCUACACUGAAGCGUUCAACGAGUAUUCACCUUGCCCGGGAGGGUUGGGUAAUCUUUUGAAAACGCUUCGUGAUGGGGAUAGAUUAUUGCAAUUAUUAAUCUUCAACGAGGAAUUCCUAGUAAGCGCGAGUCAUCAGCUCGUGCUGAUUACGUCCCUGCCCUUUGUACACACCGCCCGUCGCUCCUACCGAUUGAGUGGUCCGGUGAGGCUUUGGGAUCUAAGCGAAAAGAGCGUUUCGCUCCUUUUGCUGGGAGAACUCAGUCGAACCUUAUCAUUUAGAGGAAGGAGAAGUCGUAACA